rnacentral:rRNA from 1 species
UGAGGGGAACCGCCUGAACUGAAACAUCUAAGUAGGGCGAGGAAGAGAAAUCAACUGAGAUUCCGUAAGUAGUGGCGAGCGAACGCGGAAGAGGCCAAACCUAAUGUAGUAAUAUGUUAGGGGUUCGGACAGUAUAAUGAAUUGUCGAGAUUUAGCCGAAUGUCAUGGGAAGGGCAAUCAAAGAAGGUGAAAAUCCUGUAGGCGAAAAGUUAAGACAUCAGACUGUAUCCAGAGUACCGCCGGACACGUGAAACCCGGUGGGAAUACGGGGGGACCAUCCUCCAAGCCUAAAUACUACUCGGUGACCGAUAGAGAAGAAGUACUGUGAAGGAAAGGUGAAAAGCACCCCGGAAGGGGAGUGAAAGAGAACCUGAAACCUUGUGUUUACAAGCACCGAAAGUUCAUCAACGAACGAUCGGGUACCUUUUGUAGAAUGGUCCGGCGAGUGAAUGUAACUGGCAAGGUUAAGCACUUAAGGUGUGAAGCCGUAGCGAGAGCGAGUCUGAAAAGGGCGCAUGAAGUCAGUUGUAUUCGACCCGAAACCGGGUGACCUACCCAUGUCCAGGCUGAAGUGCAGGUAAAACUUCAUGGAGGGCCGAACCGACUCCCGUUGAAAUGGUAGCGGAUGAGGUGUGGGUAGCGGAGAAAUUCCAAUCGAACCCGGAGAUAGCUGGUUCUCUCCGAAAUAGCUUUAGGGCUAGCCUUGGAAUAGAUUACUGGAGGUAAAGCACUGAAUUGGCUAGGGGCCGAGAGGUUACUGAACCUUAUCAAACUAAGAAUGCCAGAUAAUCGUUUUCCAGGAGUCAGACAGUGGGAGAUAAGUUUCAUUGUCAAAAGGGAAACAGCCCAGACCUACAGCUAAGGUCCCAAAGUAUAGUUAAGUGGAAAAGGAUGUGGAAUUGCAUAGACAACCAGGAUGUUGGCUUAGAAGCAGCCACUCAUUAAAAGAGUGCGUAAUAGCUCACUGGUCGAGUGAUUCUGCGCCGAAAAUUUAACGGGGCUAAACUAUACACCGAAGCUUAGGAUACCGCAAGGUAUGGUAGGAGAGCGUUCUGUACGGAGUGAAGUCGUAGCGAAAGCGGCGGUGGACUGUACAGAAGUGAGAAUGCCGGAAUAAGUAGCGAGAAUUAAGUGAGAAUCUUAAUGGCCGAAAGUCUAAGGUUUUUGGAGGAAGGUUCGUCCGCUCCAAGUAAGUCGGGAGCUAAGGUCAGGCCGAAAGGCGUAGCCGAUGCACAAACGGUUGAUAUUCCGUUACCGUCUACAAUUUAAACAAAGGGACACAUACAAAGCGUUUAACCCGGGCGAUGGUUGACCCGGGCGCAAGGGACUGAAAUAAGAGUAGGGAAGUAAAUGUGGCGUAUGGCGAGAAAAGCUUUGUGAAUAGAAGUAGACGCCCGUACCGCAAACCGACACAGGUGGACAGGAAGAGAAUUCUAAGGCCAGCGGGAGAAGGGUAGUUAAGGAACUCGGCAAAUUGACUCCGUAACUUCGGAAUAAGGAGUGCUCGAAAGAGCCGCAGAGAAUAGGCCCAGGCGACUGUUUAGCAAAAACACAGGUCUCUGCCAAAUCGAAAGAUGAAGUAUAGGGGCUGACACCUGCCCGGUGCCGGAAGGUUAAGAGGAGGAGUGCAAGCUCCGAAUUGAAGCCCCGGUAAACGGCGGCCGUAACUAUAACGGUCCUAAGGUAGCGAAAUUCCUUGUCGGGUAAGUUCCGACCCGCACGAAUGGUGUAACGAUCUGGGCACUGUCUCAACUACCCACCCGGCGAAAUUGUAGUACCGGUGAAGAUGCCGGUUACCUGCGGCAAGACGGAAAGACCCCAUGGAGCUUUACUGUAGCCUGAUAUUGGGUUUCGGAAAUCUAUGUACAGGAUAGGCGGGAGACUGGGAAGUAUGAGCGUCAGCUUAUACGGAGUCAUUGUUGGGAUACCGCCCUUAGGUUUCUGGAAUUCUAACCUGCGACCGUGAAUCCGGUCGGGGGACAUUGUCAGGUGGGCAGUUUGACUGGGGCGGUCGCCUCCGAAAAGGUAACGGAGGCGCUCAAAGGUUGGCUCAGCACGGACGGAAACCGUGCCUCAGAGUGUAAACGCAAAAGCCAGCCUAACUGCGAGGAUGACGGUCCGAGCAGUAACGAAAGUUGGAGUUAGUGAUCCGGCGGUAUGUGAAUGGAAAUGC